GAUGAACGCUGGCGGCGUGCCUAAUACAUGCAAGUCGAGCGAAUGACGAGAAGCUUGCUUCUCUGAUUUAGCGGCGGACGGGUGAGUAACACGUGGGCAACCUGCCCUACAGAUCGGGAUAACUCAGGGAAACCUGGGCUAAUACCGGAUAAUCCUUCGAAUCACAUGUUUUGAAGUUGAAAGGCGCUUCGGCGUCACUGUAGGAUGGGCCCGCGGUGCAUUAGCUAGUUGGUGGGGUAACGGCCUACCAAGGCAACGAUGCAUAGCCGACCUGGGAGGGUGGUCGGCCACAUUGGGACUGAGACACGGCCCAAACUCCUACGGGAGGCAGCAGUAGGGAAUCUUCCACAAUGGACGAAAGUCUGAUGGAGCAACGCCGCGUGAGUGAUGAAGGUUUUCGGAUCGUAAAACUCUGUUGUAAGGGAAGAACAAGUACGUUAGGAAAUGAACGUACCUUGACGGUACCUUAUUAGAAAGCCACGGCUAACUACGUGCCAGCCGCCGCAGUAA
rnacentral:rRNA from 1 species